CGGACGGGUGAGUAAUGUCUGGGAAACUGCCCGAUGGAGGGGGAUAACUACUGGAAACGGUAGCUAAUACCGCAUAACGUCGCAAGACCAAAGAGGGGGACCUUCGGGCCUCUUGCCAUCGGAUGUGCCCAGAUGGAAUUAGCUAGUAGGUGGGGUAACGGCUCACCUAGGCGACGAUCCCUAGCUGGUCUGAGAGGAUGACCAGCCACACUGGAACUGAGACACGGUCCAG
rnacentral:rRNA from 1 species